rnacentral:rRNA from 1 species
GGCUUGUUGAUUUUAAUUUCAAGUCUGACCUGCCCAAUGAUAUUUAUUUUAAUGGCCGCAGUAUAUUAACUGUGCAAAGGUAGCAUAAUCAUUAGUUUUUUAAUUGGAAGCUUGUAUGAAGGGUUUGAUGAAAAAAUUUCUGUCUCUAGAGAAAUUUAUUAGAAUUUUAUUUUUAAGUGAAAAAGCUUAAAUUUGUAUGGAAGACGAGAAGACCCUAUAGAGUUUUAUAUUUAUAUUUAAUUAAUAGAAUUAUAUUAAGUAUUUAGUUGGGGUGACAGAAAAAUUGAUAUAACUUUUUUUUUUUUGUACAUUAAUUUAUGAUUAUUUGAUCCUAGAUUUAGAUUAUAAGAAUAAACUACCUUAGGGAUAACAGCGUAAUUUUUUUUAGAGUUCUUAUCGAAAAAAAAGAUUGCGACCUCGAUGUUGGAUUAAAAUUAAUUGUUGGUGAAGAAGUUUAUAAAUUGGGUCUGUUCGACCUUUAAAAUUUUACAUGAUCUGAGUUUAAACCGGUGUGAG